AGUUUGAUAUAUUUGAGGUCAUUCUGUAUGAUGAUUCUCUCUGUGCUGAUUUGCAUGAGAGGCUUCUUAAAGGGAAGUGAAACAAUGUGUGAGUGAGUGACUGAUGGAGCAGAAAAACCAUCUGACAGAAACUCCUUAAAGGAGAAAAUCAACUCUCACACAGUAAAGGUGUCCAAGUGUCUGAUGGUUGAUUGACAGCUGUGUGGUCCCUGUCCUCUAAGCUGAUUGGUGUCUCCUAGGUGAUGUCCGUCCCACCCUGACGGUGCUGACCCCCUCCAGUGAGGAGCUGCAGCAGGGGAAGGCCACGCUCAUGUGUCUGGCCAACAAGGGCUUCCCCUCAGACUGGAGUCUGGCCUGGAAGGUGGACGGCAGCAGCAGCAGCAGCAGCAGCAGCAGCUGGGAGGAGAGCAGGAGCCCUGGGGUGCUGGAGAAGGACGGCCUCUACAGCUGGAGCAGCACCCUGAGGCUCCCUGCAGACCAGUGGAGGAAGGUGGGCUCUGUGACCUGUGAGGCCACCCAGGGCUCCCAGACUCCACUCUCAGAGACACUGAGGAGAGACCAGUGUUGCCAGUCCUGACCUGACUCACUGGGACUCUGCUGCUGGUUUUACUCUGCUAAUGCUCUCAGUCUG